rfam:Perkinsus marinus ATCC 50983 gcontig_1104296728886, whole genome shotgun sequence.
UUGGCAGAUGUUAGUGGUGUUUCCUACUUUCAGUCGUCAGCAUCACUGGCUGAGUGGAAAUAAUCCUUGGAUGCUAAUUGGUUCGCUAUCUGUGAAUUGUUGCUUCCUUGCGAUACUCACUACUCGGUCAGUGAGGAAGUGCGUUUGCUGGUCAACGAGCUUUCUACCUGUCAUUACCCUGCGCUUUUCGAUUCGUCGAGUGGCCAGGAUGUGGCUUUGAGAUUGUUCGCACUUAGUAAUCGCGAUGCUGGCUUCCAACGGUUGCCUCCGGCCCGUCUUGAAACACGGACCAAGGAGUCUAACGUAUGUGCGAGUGUGUGAGUGGCAAACUUAUACGCGUAAUGAAAGUGAGGCCGUAUGGCCAUGUUGGGGUCACCAACAACCGACCUUGAUCUUCGGUGAAAGGUUUGAGUAUGAGCAUAUCCGUUAGGACCCGAAAGAUGGUGAACUAUGCCUGAGCAGGGUGAAGCCAGGGGAAACUCUGGUGGAGGCUCGUAGCGAUACUGACGUGCAAAUCGUUCGUCAGACUUGGGUAUAGGGGCGAAAGACUAAUCGAACCAUCUAGUAGCUGGUUCCCUCCGAAGUUUCCCUCAGGAUAGCUAGAGUCUUUAUCAGUUUUGUCAGGUAAAGCGAAUGAUUAGAGGUUCCGGGGAAGUAACUUCCUCGACCUAUUCUCAAACUUUAAAUGGGCAAGAUCCAGUAGUUACUUAAUUGAACUAUUGGGGUCAAUGAGACGACUCUAAGUGGGCCAUUUUUGGUAAGCAGAACUGGCGAUGAGGGAUGAACCUAACGCUCGGUUAAGGUGCUAAACUGCUCGCUCAUCAGAUACCACAAAGGGUGUUGGUCGAUCUUAACAGCAGGACGGUGGUCAUGGAAGUCGAAAUCCGCUAAGGAGUGUGUAACAACUCACCUGCCGAAUCGACUAGCCCCGAAAAUGGAUAGCGCUGAAGCGAGUGACCGAUACCGGGCCAUUGUUGCAAGAUAAUUGGCAACAAUGAGUAGGAGGGCGUGGGGGUUGUGAAGAAGCUUGGACGUGAGUCUGAGUGAAACAGCUCCAGUGCA